CCUACGGGUGGCAGCAGUGGGGAAUAUUGCACAAUGGGCGAAAGCCUGAUGCAGCAACGCCGCGUGAAGGAAGAAGGGUUUCGGCUCGUAAACUUCUAUCAACAGGGACGAAAGAAAUGACGGUACAUGAAUAAGAAGCCCCGGCUAACUACGUGCCAGCAGCCGCGGUAAGACGUAGGGGGCAAGCGUUAUCCGGAAUUACUGGGUGUAAAGGGUGAGUAGGCGGCAUGGUAAGCCAGAUGUGAAAGCCUUGGGCGUAACCCGAGGAGUGCAUUUGGAACUAUCAAGCUAGAGUACAGGAGAGGAAAGCGGAAUUCCUAGUGCAGCGGUGAAAUGCGUAGAUAUUAGGAAGAACACCAGUGGCGAAGGCGGCUUUCUGGACUGAAACUGACGCUGAGGCACGAAAGCGUGGGGAGCGAACAGGAUUAGAUACCCCUGUAGUC
rnacentral:rRNA from 1 species